UGAAGUUACACCUCUAUGAAUAUACUACGGAGACCUAAUUUAAAUAACCACAACGGAAUGCUAUUGGCCGAUAUAUAUUUAAAUGGAACUCAGAUUAACCAAUCGCAUGCGAGCGUUUCACUUCUACAUAAAAGACACCAACAAAUAAAAUAAAUAAACACUCAAUAAAUCAAGUAAUCCCUGGUUUUACGUUUCAAACAAAUAGAAAUAAAUCAAAACUAAGGAAGCAUUCAUAUACUUGUAUGUGUGGCAAAUUUGAGCAAUAGAAAAAAUAUGUCUAAAAUAUAAUUACUGAAAACUAGUUUAUGAUAAACCAAUUACUUAAAAUAUUUACUAAAA